rnacentral:lncRNA from 1 species
GUCUUUGGAAAUUAUUACAAAGUUCAGCUGGAAGUCUCCUUCUCCCUGUGGACCUUCCCCAAUUCCACUGGCUGCCCUCCUCAAGGACCCCUGUGAGAUAAAUUCAGAAAUGGCUAUCCUUGGCUUCCCUGGGGAACAAGAGUGCCUGCAGUUCUUUUCCCACUUCUUUUACUUUUCUAUUUCACUGGGCUCUCUAAAUUCAUUUCAGCUCUAGGGAUUUGGAAAGGAUUCCGUGAUGGUUAAUAUUGAGUGUCAACUUGAUUGGAUUGAAGGAUGCAAAGUAUUGUUCCUGGGUGUGUCUGUGAGGGUGUCACCAAAGGAGAUGAACAUUUGAAUCAGUGAGCUGGGAGACACAAACCCAUACUCAAUCUUGGGGGACACCAUCUAAUCAGCUGCCAGUGCAACUAGGAUAAAAUCAGGCAGAGAAAUUUGGAAAGACUAGACUGGCUGAGUCUUCUGGCCUUCAUCUUUCUCCCAUGCUAGAUGCUUCCUGACCUCGAAUAUCAGACUCCAAGUUCUUUAGCUUUUGGACUCUUGGACCUUUGGCCACAGACGGAAGGCUGCACUUUUGAAGUUUUGGGACUUGGACUGGCUUCCUUGCUCCUCAGCUUACAGAUGGCCUAUUGUGGGACUUCACCUUGUGAUUGUGAUUUCAAACCUUCUGGGUUUCUUCCCAGCGCUAAAUCCUGUCGACUGGAUUCACUAGGAUGAAUAGAGAAAGAAGUGUUACAUUUUAAGAUAAUUUCUUUUCUAAACACACAGAAAGGCAACUUCCACGUGGAAAGAGGUACUCAUCAAGUUUAGCUGAAUAGUCUUGUGAUUCACAGCUUGUCUUUUGAGAAGAGUGGAGGAAAUCGUGUCAUUUAUCAUGGGUAAUUCCAGUAUGGCUCACACUAUCAAUCUCUCUGACAAUCUCCUCAACAACUCGAAGACCAAUCUGUGGCUGGAAACUGUCCAGGUGAUAAGCAUCAGGAUGCUGUGGGCCAGGCCUGCUACAACACCUGCUCUAAAGUCAGAUGUACCAUCUGCAGUGAAUGUAACCCAACUUAUGAAGAGGAAUCCAACAGUGUAACAAUGUUACAAUAUGCACGUAAGAAGGGACUUAGUGAUGUCCCCAGUGGGUUCACCUCUCUCUUUGAACUGAGCAAUUUUAUGAUUAUAGGAACAACUGUUUUCUUCUUUCAUAACAUGAGUAAAAAAGCCUGAUCAACUUCUGGUGGUAUAAAAUAUUCAGAUUCUUAGUAAAUAAGAAGUUUAGAGAUGGAAAUAAAUGCUUUAUGGAUUUGUUGUCUCAGCUAGACACAGGCUUCGAGAAUUUAGAAUAUUUUUCUUUAAUAUUCACUAUCUGAAAAAUAAAUAAGAAUGGAUUUUUAGUUUUAAAUGA